rnacentral:rRNA from 1 species
GAUGAACUCUGGCGGCGUGCCUAACACAUGCAAGUCGAACGGACUUACAUUGAAGCCUAGCGAUAUGUAAGUUAGUGGCGGACGGGUGAGUAACGCGUGGGUAACCUGCCUUGUACUGGGGGACAGCAGUUGGAAACGACUGCUAAUACCGCAUAAGCGCACAGCUUCGCAUGAAGCGGUGUGAAAAACUCCGGUGGUACAAGAUGGACCCGCGUCUGAUUAGCUGGUUGGUGAGGUAACGGCCCACCAAGGCGACGAUCAGUAGCCGGCCUGAGAGGGUGAACGGCCACAUUGGGACUGAGACACGGCCCAAACUCCUACGGGAGGCAGCAGUGGGGAAUAUUGCACAAUGGGGGAAACCCUGAUGCAGCAACGCCGCGUGAGUGAAGAAGUAUUUCGGUAUGUAAAGCUCUAUCAGCAGGAAAGAAAAUGACGGUACCUGACUAAGAAGCCCCGGCUAACUACGUGCCAGCAGCCGCGGUAAUACGUAGGGGGCAAGCGUUAUCCGGAUUUACUGGGUGUAAAGGGAGCGUAGACGGUUUUGCAAGUCUGAAGUGAAAGCCCGGGGCUUAACCCCUGGACUGCUUUGGAAACUGUAGAACUAGAGUGCAGGAGAGGUAAGUGGAAUUCCUAGUGUAGCGGUGAAAUGCGUAGAUAUUAGGAGGAACACCAGUGGCGAAGGCGGCUUACUGGACUGUAACUGACGUUGAGGCUCGAAAGCGUGGGGAGCAAACAGGAUUAGAUACCCUGGUAGUCCACGCCGUAA